rnacentral:lncRNA from 1 species
AUUUAUUAUGGAGAAAUUUGAAAAUAGAAACUCUGUCAAAAAAGAAACCAAAAAUGGAAACAACUGUGUCAAUAAUUAAUAGAGAUUUUUUUUUUGUUUGUUUAAGACAUGUAUUCACUUUUGACUUUUUUUUAUUUAUUUAUGACAGAUAUAAAUCUAAUUUGGGAUCAAACUAAUUAACCAAAUGUGGCUGAGGUCAAGGUGGUGUCACCAUCAACGACACUGCGGCUACCUGAUUACAGUUCUGUCCAUGCCAUCCCAUCACAUUCUUCAUGUGUCCACCGAUUUCUACCUUCUCAUUGUAGACGCCGGAUUUCACAUAGAUUAUGGCUCUUGGAGGUCGUCUGUCGCCCAUUCUAGCAAGUGCAGCCACGGCAUGGUUAAUUGUUGUGUGAGUGCGUGAACCAUCUUUUGCCACCACAAAGUCAGCUCUGGAUCUUGCCGGACUCCACGAUGCUAAAAGCCCUCCAUAUGGCCUUGCAUUGGAGUUUUGUCCAUGCCGCACUUCUACAUUAUAUUAAACCAUAAAUUGCAAAAACUACUAAUGCAAAAAUUAAAGUCAUGAUAAUGUAACACAAAAUAUUUGUAAUGUAAAAUUCAAAUUAAUAUCACCUAUUGGCUAAAAUUUACGAUCAACGUACUACUUACUCAUUGCCUCAUCAGUAGUCAUAGUACUCUUCCCAUACAGAGCAAGAGCUUCACCAAGCACCACGGUCAAGUUUUGUGCCACCGCACUAUACAGUUGAGCACCACUAGUAUUCUUAACAACACCGUUCUCUUCCAAGCUAUCCCAACAACUCCUAUGGUUAGCAAGCACACCGCUGAGCCAUGUCCGAGCAUCUUCUCCGGUAUAAUUACCCUCGCCGGAUAUCAACUCAGUCAUCAGCCUCGGCACACUCUCAUCAUAUAGUCUUUCACAGUCCAUCAGAGCCACGUCACGGCCAGAAGAAUCCGAUUCAGAGCUUGCCAACACAUGUACCCGGUCCAUCGAGGUACAGACCACAUUGGUGGCUUGAAGAACGCUAUCUAGGGCCAGUUGAACCGGUUUCGGAUCUUGGAAGCAGGAUGUGGAAGAAGCCAUGGUGAUGGAUAGCAGGAGGAGGAGGAAGGUGGUAACAGAGGUGGACAUUUUUGGUGAGUUAAUGCUAGCUAGCUAGGGAAAAGUGGUGAAAUGCAUGAGCCUGCAGGAGAGCUUGAAUGAGUUGCAGGAUCGAGGUGGUGUGGAUUUAUAGAGACAGUCGGGGAGGGGUGGGGGGAAGAAGAAAACACGUGUAUGUAGCUACUGGUGUUGUAUAAGCUAGCUAGCCAAGUGAGAUUAAUUGGUGCUGAUUUCCUUUGUAAAUGAUGAGCCACUUCCAAAUUCAGUUAUGCAUAUAUUGUAUAUAUUGUUUCCUGAUUUUCUUUCUAGCUUUUUGUAUCUGUUCGCAGAGAUAGAGUAAAUAUGCUCUUGUUAUGAAGUAUAUAUGACUCGUGUUAGAGAUAGAAGUAAGGGACCUGAAACAAACGUGUGUCAGGAAAACCAUUCCAGCGGGUAGUGAUGAUAUUGAUUUGGCAAGUAAGAGUAGUACUACGUGCCAGUGUUCUAAACAUGCACAUACGUAUACUUUUCUAUUAAUGCAUGUUUUGUAAUUUACUGCCGAUCGAUCGAGUUUAGUUAGAGUCUCAUACGUUUAUAUAGUGUUGCCUUCUGCUGACUCCAUGGAUCGAUAUAAUACAAACAAGUUUUAAUCAUAGUGAUGAACUAAUCGGUGAUGAUCGAGAUCAGUACGUAACGCUCAUUACUCAUUAAGUUGGUCACCAUGCCUGCACACUAAGUUGGUCACCAAAAUAAACUCGCAAAAUGCAAACAUUAUUCGUUCAAAGAAUAAAUAGUAGACGUACUAAAUUAGUAAAUUUCAUCUUAGACAAAGAAACUAGCAGACCAAGUUAAAGUCCAAUCAUCUUACAGUCCAUGUCUUUGAUCUGCUCCGAUAAUUCACGUAAGAAUAUCAAUAAUCAAUCGUUUGCUGCUGAUGUGCGAGGCAGUAGCCAUUUCUCCCGAGAGUCACUUUCUUAUUUUAGCACAUGAACUAACUAACUGUAUGCUUAUAAAUGAUCAAUAUGUUCUAAUUACUUUGAUGAUUCCCGAAACCCCCCUUGCAUUCUACCAUUUUGGUGUCAAUCCAUAAUCCCUACCUGGUUACUUACAACUACAAAUACUACUAGGAUUCACUAUUUGUAAAUAUAUUCUCUGUAUAUAUGGUGAUCAAAACUAACACUUUUAUGAAACUAACACUUUUAUAAAGUGGAAUCAACAAUAUAAAAUCCACAUGAUAAACAAACAAGUAUUCGAAGUUCAAUUCUUCGAGUUUAAAUAUACAACAGAUGCACAAACAGCAGGAAAAGUGAACAUGAUUUAUCAUGCAGCUUGAUAAAUGGGAUAUAAAGCGUGCACCACCUCUACAUGCGCGCAACAAAUGUUUAUAGAAAAAUAGAGGAAAAAAACAGGUGGAAAAUUAUAUAUUAAAAUAUAAAACAAUGCAUGAAACAGCAUGAAACUCGUAUAUGUGUAACAUAAUCACCUGUCACGCAAAGAAUAAAUCGAACGGCUUUCAUAUCCUUGAGUUCUAGAAUGACAUAUCACGUACAAUUACUACAUGAAGACUAUUAUCAAAAGAAAAAGGAUGGAAGGAUCAAGACUUAUUUGAUCAUUUUAUGUUUAAAGUCUACACACACAAAAAACUAAUUAGGUUUUUGAUCUAUCUACAUAUUUGAAUGAAGAUAAACUUGAUGACUAGAAUACAAGCAACUCGAUCUAAGUCUAUGACACUGUUUGUAUGAAACAUUUCUGAUUUUGAUAGUUUUAGAAGUCAAAGUCAACAAAUUUGAUUUUUUGCUGGUGAUCUACUACCUAGCUUGUUUUGGGUUCUCAACCAAGCGAUAAUUGCCACAGUCGUGUUUGAAUGAUCAUCAUCUGCAGUCUCUGCUCGAAAGCUUUGAUUUCUUUUAGUUAGAGCUCCAAUUAAGUCAAACCUUAAAAUAACAACCAGAUUUAUUAUAUAUGACAGCAAUAUAUGAUGGUCGCAUAUCUGGUGUAAUAAUUUGAAAAUGAUGAUGUCUCUUUUCUUUUCCUUGGUACCAAAUUAGUCGAACGCAGAAAGUUAGAUCAGACUUCUCCGGUUCAAAACUUCACUUUUGGAUUUCCGGAAAUGAAAGCAAAACUAGCUAAGGGUUUACGUAAUCUUCUUCAAUUCUUCCAACCCAAAAGAUACAUAUAUUAAACAAAUUAACGACAACAAUCCUAGGCUAGUGAUCAAAUACAAUCAAUUUGAAAAAUGGUUAACAGAGUUCUUUUUAGGUGGAAGUAGGGGAUCUAAGUUUAGCAUUCGAGGACUCGCUAAAAUAAUUGAAGAACAGAUUCAGAUGGAAUAUGUUCAUAUCAUUGCGACAACAGCUACCAGCAAAUAGUUAUGAUGAUGAUGACCAAGACUGACCGGAUAGACACGAAUAUAUAUAGAAUUGUAGCUAGCUUGCGAUAGAAUCAUAUAUAAAUCCUUUAGAAAUGAAAUUAUUGAACGUCGUCUUCAAAUUCGAUCAUUAUAUAUUUGUACGUCGAUGGUGUUUAAUUGGUUAAGCCUUGAUUUUCAACAUGAACAGUAUAGUUGUUCCUAGCUAUUGCCAACUAAGGUCAUGACUAAAACAUUAUGGUAUUCCCAUCGGCUUAGUCCUGGACUACUACUCAUGGUACAUAUCCAAUCAUUUUUGAUAAAUAAUUACCAUUUUCUUUUACAAAAUAUUUAAUUGCCAUUUGAGAAAUCAAGUUUAUCCAUCAAGUCCUUCUUUCUCUUUCUUAAUUUUCUCCAAUCAACAGAAUAACUUGACCAAGAGAACCCUUUUAGUGAAGACUCUUAAGUUCAGGACUAGUUGAUGACUUUUCGAUUUAUGGUUUAAAAGACAUAUUUUUCGAUCACAUAUUGGCAUCUCAUCCGUUCAAUUUUUAGGUCUAUAUGCGUAGAUCAACCCUACAAUUUUUCAGCCAAAUCAAUGAUCGUUAAGGUAACAAACUAGAUCAAAUUAAUGGACAAACCAAAUCUGUUAAACAUGAACCGUUCAAGUUCAUAAUUGAUAAAUCACACUUAUAAGUCUUAACGAUUUUCAAUAUGGCUGAAAAUUUGCAGAAAUAAUCUACUCAUAAAUACCUAUAAACUGAACGGUCUAGAUGUGGAUAUAAGAUCGAAAAGUGAGAUAAACCGAAAAGCCUUUAACUAGUCCUGAACUUAAGAGUCCUCGUUAAAAAGGCAACUACUUGGACUAUUUCCACCCAUUCCCACAACAGGAACCACACUCAACUUAUCAUCGGUUGCAUUAUCCGACAACAGCAAGUUAAUGAUGAACUUCUUGUCCUCCUCCCUUCCAUACACAUCAAAAUCAUUUACCAGAGAAGAAACUUCAAGUGAUCUUGCUGGUUGUGGUUUAUCCUUAAAACUCUCUUUCAAACCAAUCUCAUCUUGUUCCUUCAUAAUAAGUUCUAAUCUCUCGAGGGUCUCCAAUAACUUGUGCUCCAUAGAUUUGUCAAAUUCAAAUGUUGAAUUAGUAGAGCUGAGAUCGUGUACCUGACUACCUAGAGCUUCGGUAGUGAUCUCAUCGAGCAAGUCCCCUGCAACAUACAAAGCAUGUUUAAGCUCGUCAAGCCACUCCCUCCCAUUCGGGUUUCUGAAUCGCUUCUCCUCUGCAUCAUCGAGCACUGAAUUCACAGAAAGCAGCUUCAUCUUUAACUUCCUGAGCAAUCCAUAGUUGACUUUCUGUUUGGAGAUGAAGUCAACUACUUGACGAGAGGCAAGUCUGGCAAACAAAACAGACAGAAAUGAAGAGAGAAAAGCUCCACCCACCAACUCCAGAGCCUUGGUUUAUCGGUCAUGCAGGAAACAGGAAGAUCACAGGGGAAGAAGAAAGGAAGUGAUCAGAAGAAAAAUGAAACAAACAAGAAUUUGAGCUGUUAACUUGUGAUUGUUAUUCUUGGAAAAUGAGGUUCAAGCUAGAUUAGAUAGUCUAUUCUUCUUUAUUCAUAAGCACAUGUCCAUGUUUACAAUAUUCCUAUAUCUUAAUACUAAUCAUCGAGUUGUGUAAAUAGCACAUAAAGAAUAGUAAUUUAUUAAGAUGCUAAUGUAUUCUUACAGGAUUCUGGAAAAAAUAAAAAAUAAAAAAAAAUAAAAAUCAACUAUCUAAUAGAUAUUGAAUUAGAAUCAUAAAAAGCAAUUGUCUUUAACUAUUUGGCUUCUCAACCAACAUCAAAUAGCCCAACAACGAAUACAACAGGUAACUCUAGUGAGAUUUAAAUUUAAAUCUCAGCGCUGUUGAUCAAGCAUGUCAUGAACCAAACACACAGUUGUCCUGUUUGACAUUUCAGCCAUGCUUUUCUAAAAUAGCCAAAAUGAAAAAACAUUCUUUAGCCAAAAUUUAAUAUUGGAAGUUACAAAAACAAAAACACAACAUUUGUUUACUCCUGUAUUGCCUGUCAUAAGAGAACCCCUCUGUUGCAGCUUCAACGAAAUAGGCAGUGAUCAUACUUCUAACCAAGGGUACACUUUUGGUGAUGAAGGCAACCGUGCUGUAAGAACUUCAACUCCAGUCUCUGUCACCUAUAAAUUAAGGGGAAAAAGGAAGAUAAAGGAAUUACAUAUAAACCACUGUAGCCUGAUUCCCCAGACAAAUAAGCAGGAUUCAUUAGCAGAUGAGCUAUCAUGAUGACAUCUAACCUAACUAAAUCUCAAUGGUAUUCUAAUUCAACGUAGAUAAAUAAAACAGCAUACUUGAUUUAAGACAAUACGAAUAGACCAGCUUAAGCUACUUUCUCGUCAUCUCAGACACACUUGAAGUUCUAACGCUAGCAUGCCACUAUACCCAUAUUACUAGAAGAAACAGUUACGAAGAAUAAUAAAAUAACAAUCCAAAUACAGAUCAAACUAAGGAAUAUACACAAAUGCACAGAAAACCAACAAGAAUGUCCUUCUGACAGUCAGAGAAAUGGCAGCUAGAGAAGUUGCAAACAAGUUACCAACAUAACAUAAUAAAAGGAAGUACACAGUUACCAGAAGUGUGUGCUCGAAUUGAGCACUUCGUUUCCCAUCUGCGGUAACAGCAGUCCAUCCAUCAGGCCACAUUCGAUCACGCAAACCCCUAAUUGAUAAUUAGUUCAAAUUUAAUAAGGUGUACCCAGCAACCAAAAAGCUAUUCAAUAUCACAUAAACAACUUUCCAAAAGUACCUGCAUUGAUCAUCGGUUCAAUCGUGAAAGUUUGCCCAGCUUUCAUCACUCCAACUGCUUUAUUUCCUGCUUGGAUUAAAGAUAAGCAAUGCAUUAAAAGAAGAAGAAGAAGAAAAACAAUCCUUAGAUACAGAAGCUGCUUAAUGGAACAUACUUGCAUAGUGAGGAAUAUUUGGUGCACAAUGAAAGAGCUCCCCUAUACCAUGACCACAAUAUGAUUUCACCUGUUGGUCCAAUACAAGAUUUGCUCAAAUUCUAUCUGAUGGACUUAAAAAUGAAAGUAUUGUGCAAAUCUAAAUACAAGCUGCAAAUUACCACAGAGAAUCCUGCCAUAGUAGCAUGGCGAUUAAUGACUUCUCCAACUUCACGAAAUCUAACUCCAGGUUUUACUGCACUUGAAAAAAGAUUCACGAAUAAGGUGGUAUGCUUUCAAACCCACAAAAUACUUGAUAGUACACUGUUGCACACUCCCAAUUACAAAUAAAUAGGUUGAGUUCUCCGACACAAUCAGUUAUCACUAGAAUCUACAGUUUGCCUAUACAAACUUAAGCAAAAACAACCACAAAGAUAAUUCAAGAAUUAUUGCAUUGCAAUUUCCACGGCACCAAAUAAGUAUACAUGCAAUAUCAGAAAAUAAUAAAUAUCAAAAGCAUAAAUGAAUAGGAGACACAUGAGGAAAGGAGUAAUAAACUUGAGCUGUGUUUUCUUGGAUCUGUUACAUAUCCGGCAUGACAGAUAACAGAACCCCCAAUAUCAAAAUCCAUCAUGGAACAAUUGUAAAUUUUACUUGAGGAUCCCAACCCAACUGAUAGAUCAAUGUACCAAAUAGUUGCACUGUAAUGCAUACCAAUGGCUAUUGCUUUUUCCAAGCACUCGUAAGUACACUGUACUAGCCGUCGAGACUCUUCAUCAACAUUUCCCACAAAGUACGUAUCAUUGAGAUCACCUGUAUUAUGAGGUAACAAUUGGUCAAGCAAAAACAUUAAGAUAAUUUUGAACCACAUGUUAAAUGUGGAGAGCAAGAAUUACCAUGGACGCCUUUGUAAUACACAGUUACGUCAACAUUGACGAUAUCACCAUCUUCUAAUUUCCUGGAACAGAUGUUUCAGUCAAAUGAAAUAGAACAAAAAGGAUAAACAAUAUAGACAAAUGCCUCUAAAUUCUUGUCUUGUAGUCUUCUAGAAGCAAUUUUCAGGAUAAAGGGGAUCACUAGUUCAAACUUCAAAGACCGAACGAAAAAGAGCACAUAACAAAAAAUUAUACCUGGCAUCAGGAAUCCCAUGGCAAAUUACUUCAUUGACUGACCUGUAGAUGGAAGCACAAUUAUUUGAACAAUAUUGUACAAUCUCAAAAAUAAAUAAGAAAAUGUACAUGAAAAGAUACCUACGUGCAGCAAGACUUUGGGAAAAAAUGAUAAUUGAGGGGAGAUGGAUAUCCGCCUGCAGUAAGUUAAAGUCAGACAACCAGACGAACAAGAUUCGGCCACAUAAAAGCUGAUCACUAAAAAGCAUAGAAGUUAAAUAUAUAUUAUAUAUAUAGUCAUAUAGCUAUAUAUGUUAUAAUUAAUAGCAAAGCAUAAAACUAACAUGAUCAAAAUUAGACAUUAAAUUAUCUAUACUGUUAUUAAGAGACAAGUUUGUCAACCAAAACAGAAUUUCUUUUCUUUUUUUUUUUACCAAAUAUCCCUCAAAUAUUAAAAAAAACAUCUGAACCAAAUUAUUUGGAAAUCGAAGAACAAAAUGGCCAAUUCACAAAUAUAAGAAAAACAUCAGAAAUUUUAAAAAAAAAUUUUAAAAAUUCAGCAAUUUUCUCUACAUUUUAUGGAAUAAGUUCCAAGUAAUUCCCAUGUUAUCCACAUCCCUCUAGUAUGAAUAUAAACUAUGGAACUGAACUAGUAAAUAAACUGUGAAAUCAAUAAUACUAAAGAGCAUAUAAGACUUGAAGAAGACAACUAGUUUUGGCACUGUAAGUAAUAUGGUGAAAGCCUAUUAUAUACCUGCAGCUAUAGUAGCAUCAUGGACCACCCUAUCAAUUUCAUCAGUCGUGAUACCAGGCCGUAUGACACGAGCAGCUGCAUCCAAAACCUCUCUUGCAAUCUGACAACAAGAAGAACGCCACAGUAUAAGUAAAAAUUAAGCAGACAAUAUAGUGAAGAGUUCACAUUGAUGCUUAAUGAUCACGGAAGAAAAUAAGAAAUAAUCACUUGGAACUUACUCGACAAGUUUCUCGCAUCCUCUCAAUUUGAUCUGGAGUCUUGAUCUGCAAAACGAAUACAUCAUUACGUACUUGGAAAUAAAGAAAAGAAAAAAAAAAACAAAGAGAGCAGAAAAAUACUAACCUGAUAGCACAUCAACCUAUACCUAAGAUAUGAUAUAUGUGUGUAUAUAUAUAUAUAUGAGGUUAUCAAGUACAUUUUUACCUCAACAAUUCGCUGGAGGUCACUACUAGGCUCCUCUUUUGGGAUUCCCUGCAAGUUUUGGAAGGUCAAAAUCAUGAUGGCGUAUUUGCAUCUAGAAGUAGCAACAUAAUGUAGCAUCUAACUACCAAUCAGAUCAGCAAUGCAUCUAGGGAAAUUGACCAUGAGGAAUACAUAGAAAUGAUUCUGAAACUUACAUCAGCUGCCCAAUCAGGUAGAUCAAUAUGAGAAGGUACCACACGCUUACUAGAUAUAGGAUAUGGCCUCAAUGUCCUGCACAAGAGAGAUAACUUCAGAAACUCCAUAUGAUGAUCAAUUCGUGUGAUUUAUAGCAUUUUACAUGAUGCCACAAGCAUAGCCAUGAAACGUAAAUUUCCAAACCACGAGUCAAAGAAUGCCAAGAGUCAAGCCCAUCAAUCAUACUUAACACUAACAAAAGGGCAGGCAAAAUCACAGAAACAUACCCAGUCCAUUCAAAAUAAGGAAGUUUCGGAGAUCGACUCUGUCCUUUCUUCAUACAAUAUAGCCAGCCUUCAUUCUCCGUAUUCCCCGUCCCAUCAGACUGCUUCGCCUUUACAUGUACUGAUUUAUGCGAGCUCCACGAUGCCUUAAAACAAUCCUGUGUGCUGAUAACAGAGGUUCCAAAUCUUCAUAAUCAGACAAACUCAAAGAUCAUUUUCAAACUUACAGCAACAUACGCUAUCGAUUCUUGUCUAAGAUUCUUGUCUUAAUCAAACUACUAAUGAACUCUAAAUCCUGAUCAACCUAAACUCGAAAAGCGCAACUCGCUAUAAUUUCUAAUAAUCCAUUAUUAACACAAAGAAUGAAAUCAUCACGCACCAGAAAGCAGCAGCUUCACGAGGAAGCUUCAACUCCACACACUUGGGGCACCUGUAAUAUCAAAAUCAAAGCUGAAUUCAACAAGUUCCAAUCUUUUAAAGCCAUAAACAUUCAAGAAUUCUCAGAGUCAAGUAAUUAUUGCUUCGUUAAUCAAAAGAAUCAUAAAGAUUACAUCUUCGUGUUGCGAAAUUGAAAGAAAAAUUUGAGAGUGAGAAAUUAACGUACUGAAGAUUGGCGGGUUUGCUGCAGCGAGCACAGGAGAGGGUAGCGACGUCGGCCAUGAUCGCAUUCAGUGGGCUCCGGCGAGCUGCGAGAGGUCAAUUUGGUCUGAUUUCAGUGACAGAGAAGAGGAGGAGGGGCUAGGGUUUUGGGUUGAGAGGGAAAUCAGUUGGAGAUUUCUCUAUUUAUACAAAUUAUCAAUUUUCUACAUUUAUUAUAGAGAAAUUUGAAAAUAGAAACUCUGUCAAAAAAGAAACCAAAAAUGGAAACAACUGUGUCAAUAAUUAAUAGAGAAUUUUUUGUUUUUUUGUUUAAGACAUGCAUUCACUUUUGACUUUUUUUUAUUGAAGCAAUAUUUCAAUAGAGAAAAUGAUCCAGGUGUAUACAACAAAUCUGACCCUUAUUAAAAUAAGCAAAUUACAACAAACCGAGAUUAAAAUCACAAUAGAGAAACUCAUCAAAGUCUUUACCUAACUAGUUAACAUAAACCAAAUCUAACAACCACUAUGAGUCAAAUUCCUUACAAUACAUAGCUUCUGGCAAAAUUAAUGUCGAUCUAGCAAGUGUAUGAACCACAAUAUUUAAUCUUUUCUUUACAUGCUUUCACAGAAGAACACAAAUUCUCUCUUCAUAUCCUUUUCUUUACAUUUACUUUUGACUUUAUCCAAAAUAAAAUCAAGUGAAUAUAUUAUACUAACAAAUGUAAGGGUUAUUCAAUUGAGUGUGUUAUAGUAAUUUUACAAAUUCACACGAUAUCUUUAGUUUUAGUAUGAUCAACGACAACGAGUCAACGUUGAAACGUUGUGGUAUUCAAUUUGGUUCCUUGAUAUUGACUGAAUUUAUUUACAUAUGGUCAAUAUAUAAUCUGUGCAAGUUAAAUUUGUAUGAGUUGAUUCUUCUGAUAGUAGUGAGUGGUAAUAGUUUUGUAGUGUUGUGUCUCCUUCUUAAUGCAUUUAAUCUCUUGAUAAAGAAAAUUGUGAGAGUUACAAAUAAUAUUUCUCUUAAAAAUUAAACAAUUGCUAAUCUUUGCUCUUCUCAUAUAAAAGAAAAAACGGCUAAUAUAUGCAAAGAGGUUAUAGUACAUAUAUACUACCAUAAUAUGGUAUUACAAAGUUUUUUUUUUCUUUUUGUAUGACAAAGUUUAUUUACCAAUGAUUAUAUUCCAAGCCAAACCGGCACACCGGUCCCUAGAAUCCAUGACUCUCCUUGAAUGAAAUGGCUAAUUGAGUAAGGGCUGACCUCCCGAGGACUAUUAAGCACAUGAAAACUAGGCCAUCUAACCCUCUUAUCAGUUGAGGCACCCUGCCCUACAUUCAUAUACUCCCCAUAAUACAGUGUUGAAAUUGCAAAACUACCUCUCCAUUCCGUCCACCCCUUUGGAUCAACCAAACCAUCCAAAUCAGUCUUUAAGAACACUGUCCUCGAGUAUUUAUGCCAUGGCCGAUCAAGGUAAGUCUUAAACGAACCCUUAACCCCCUCAAACUCCCUCGCAGGCCUAACGCGACAACCGUGAAUAACAUUGCCCGUGUUCUCUGCCGGGUUGUCACGUCCUUGAGCAGUGAUCAUGUUGGAUUGGUGCCCCAAUGGCCUCCUCACUAAAAUGUCGCAAUUUUGUAGCACGACAGAGGCGUCACCAAAUAUGAAAUCGAUGGUGCCGUAUAUGUGACUGUCACGGUAGAAUUGCCUUAGGGAGUGGGCGUAGAGACUGUCUUGGUAUCCCUUGAUGCUACAUCGGUAAAACACUGCCAGGUCGGAGCUAACCCUCAAUGCCACUGCUUGGUGCUUUUGUGGACCGGCUGUAUUCUCAAACGUUAUGUCCCUCGCCCAAAAACCAUCCCCUGAGACACCUGCAAAAAAUGACAACAUUACAAGUGAUUGUUUCAGCGUCAUUGUACUAUAUAUUGAUGCACAUUCUAGCUUAUAUUAUUGUUCUAAUUCUUAAAAAUUCGCUAGUGCAUGCAGAUAAAAGAGAGUUGUACUAGCUAAUGACAGAUAUAAAUCUAAUUUGGGAUCAAACUAACCAAAUGUGGCUGAGGUCAAGGUGGUGUCACCAUCGACGACACUGCGGCUACCGUGAUUACAGUUCUGUCCAUGCCAUCCCCAACAAGCAUCACAUUCUUCAUGUGUCCACCGAUUUCUACCUUCUCAUUGUAGACGCCGGAUUUCACAUAGAUUAUGGCCCUUGGAGGUCGUCUGUCGCCCAUUCUAGCAAGUGCAGCCACGGCAUGGUUAAUUGUUGUGUGAGUGCCUGAACCAUCUUUUGCCACCACAAAGUCAGCCCUGGAUCUUGCCGGACUCCACGAUGCUAAAAGCCCUCCAUAUGGCUUUGCAUUG